rnacentral:rRNA from 1 species
AGUGAACGCUGGCGGUAGGCCUAACACAUGCAAGUCGAACGGCAGCACAGUAAGAUUUUGCUCUUACGGGUGGCGAGUGGCGGACGGGUGAGGAAUACAUCGGCAUCUACUUUUUCGUGGGGGAUAACGUAGGGAAACUUACGCUAAUACCUCAUACGACCUACGGGUGAAAGCAGGGGAUCUUCGGACCUUGCGCGAUUGUAUUAGCCGAUGUCGCAUUAGCUAGUUGGCGGGGUAAAGGCCCACCAAGGCGACGAUCCGUAGCUGGUCUGAGAGGAUGAUCAGCCACACUGGAACUGAGACACGGUCCAGACUCCUACGGGAGGCAGCAGUGGGGAAUAUUGGACAAAGGGCGCAAGCCUGAUCCAGCCAUACCGCGUGGGUGAAGAAGGCCUUCGGGUUGUAAAGCCCUUUUGUUGGGAAAGAAAAGCAGCAGGUUAAUACCCCGCUGUUCUGACGGUACCCGAAGAAUAAGCACCGGCUAACUUCGUG